CGGCGGACGGGUGAGUAACACGUAGGCAACCUGCCCUUCAGACUGGGAUAACUACCGGAAACGGUAGCUAAUACCGGAUAAUUCCUUUCUUCACCUGAGGGGAGGAUGAAAGACGGAGCAAUCUGUUACUGAGGGAUGGGCCUGCGGCGCAUUAGCUAGUUGGUGGGUAACGGCUCACCAAGGCGACGAUGCGUAGCCGACCUGAGAGGGUGAACGGCCACACUGGGACUGAGACACGGCCCAGACUCCUACGGGAGGCAGCAG
rnacentral:rRNA from 1 species